CCCAGACUCCUACGGGAGGCAGCAGUGGGGAAUAUUGCACAAUGGGGGAAACCCUGAUGCAGCGACGCCGCGUGAGCGAUGAAGUAUUUCGGUAUGUAAAGCUCUAUCAGCAGGGAAGAAAAUGACGGUACCUGACUAAGAAGCCCCGGCUAACUACGUGCCAGCAGCCGCGGUAAUACGUAGGGGGCAAGCGUUAUCCGGAUUUACUGGGUGUAAAGGGAGCGUAGACGGCGACGCAAGUCUGGAGUGAAAGCCCGGGGCCCAACCCCGGGACUGCUCUGGAAACUGCGUCGCUGGAGUACGGGAGGGGCAGGCGGAAUUCCUGGUGUAGCGGUGAAAUGCGUAGAUAUCAGGAGGAACACCGGCGGCGAAGGCGGCCUGCUGGACCGUGACUGACGUUGAGGCUCGAGAGCGUGGGGAGCAAACAGGAUUAGAUACCCUAGUACA
rnacentral:rRNA from 1 species